UACGUAGGGCGCGAGCGUUGUCCAGAAUUAUUGGGCGUAAAGAGCUCGUAGGCGGUGUGUCGCGUCGGCCGUGAAAACCUGCAGCUUAACUGUGGGCGUGCGGUCGAUACGGGCAGACUGGAGGUAUGCAGGGGGAGAACGGAAUUCCUGGUGUAGCGGUGAAAUGCGCAGAUAUCAGGAGGAACACCGGUGGCGAAGGCGGUUCUCUGGGCAUGUCCUGACGCUGAGGAGCGAAAGUGUGGGGAGCGAACAGG
rnacentral:rRNA from 1 species